rnacentral:rRNA from 1 species
CAGUAGCCGCGGUAAUACGAAGGGGGCUAGCGUUGUUCGGAUUUACUGGGCGUAAAGGGCGCGUAGGCGGGCGAUUAAGUCAGGGGUGAAAUCCCAAGGCUCAACCUUGGAACUGCCUUUGAUACUGAUUGUCUUGAGUCCGGGAGAGGUGAGUGGAACUGCGAGUGUAGAGGUGAAAUUCGUAGAUAUUCGCAAGAACACCAGUGGCGAAGGCGGCUCACUGGCCCGGAACUGACGCUGAGGCGCGAAAGCGUGGGGAGCAAACAGGAUUAGAUACCCCCGUAGUCCCUGUCUCUUAUAC